UAUUGUUUAUUAAGACUUAUGUUAAGCUCAAUGUAAAGCAUGCGAAGAAUACCUCCCAGGCGUGCUUAUGCAAGAUAACCAUCAGAGAUAAGACAAGCAACCCCAUAUCACCAGGAAGCAGGAAACGACCCCCUAACAACAACUGAAGCAUGCGAAAAGUACCUCCACUAUCUCAUUGAACAUGGAAGUAAAGAUGUAUAAAGAGAGACUGUUUGAACUGCUCAGUACGGCAGUUGGCGGAGCGCAGACUCCCCUGCCGUCCAGCGCUGUAUUUGCUCAUAUUCUACUUGCUACAAUUAAUAAAAUUCUAAUUGGAUUAUGAUCCAUUGUGGUCUCAAUUUAUGACAAUUUGGUGCCGUGACUCGGAUAAGGAACGGUGAGCUUCUGUCCUCCGGGGAGGCGCCCCGCGGCAAUCCGCGGCCCCGCGACCGACAGCUUACCUCAACCUUACCGACGAACCUAAAUUCUAGAAUGAUGAGCAAAGGAGAAACCGGUAAAAUCCCAUAAAAAUUCUGUGCACGGGAGUCCGGACGAAGACGCAGGGCGCCUGUCCGGACUGCUGAGCGUGGAUGGACUCAUGCCAGUCGCAUUAAAGGCCCAGUGACGAGACCCCACUGGAAAGUAAUCAGUACUCCAGGUGACACCAAGAUAACUCUGAAAAGAUAACGUAAUGAUAAGAACUUUAGUUGAUUAUUUUGCCGCAUUACCUUUUGGUAUAAAGUGUAUAUUGCUGUUUAUAUUUGCUAUAAUUAUCUUUUUUUAAUCUAUUAUAUAUGGAAGCGUACAAAGUGUGUUGAAGGAAAUUGCUAAACUUAUGUAGUAACACAAUAUUGAAUAUAGAGGAAAAGCUAAUAAGCACUUUAGAUAUACAAAUUAGAUGCAAUCAUUUGAACUGCGAUUGUUAUCCAUUUGCUCGUUGCAAGUGUAAGGUAUGCCAGGAUAAAUGGUGGACACACUGUGAAUAUGGAUACCCUCCGAUAGGAGUUUGCACACAGUGUUGGAAAACCCAAAGAACUCUCACUGAGUGGAAAUUAAAAACAAUUAGAGUCGGAACAAGAAAUUAUUCGAGGAUCCCAUGAAUGGUGGAAAGUUUUGCCAAAGGAAUAAACCCUUAGUAUUAUUGUUACCAUUCCAACGAAUCAAUCCCCUUUGUGGUUGAAAUUUUGGCUACAAAGUGCAGAAGGGAAGUACUAGCUGUGUCUUGCUUAGUCCCAUUAGUUAAAGCUGCAAAGUGGGAGGCCUAUAUAAACAGGCAGAAAGCCUGAAACAGCUGUUCUCCUGAAGAUUUCCCUUGCUGCCAAGAAGAUGGUACACCCCGUGGCUCGAAGCAACCGAGUCGACGGGCGAGGCAGAGGAGGAACAAACUGUGGAGAAAAGAACCAGAACAAUGAGGCGCAAAAGCAGCUAUGGUCGAACUUCCCCAAGACUGGUAAAAGUGUACUUAAAUUGGAAAAAUUGACAGACACCCUUUUUCCUGGUAUAUCGUUAGUUUUAUUAUCGAUAAUAGCCCAAACUCCGGAAAAGGUUAGAUCAACGUAAAAAAGAUCGUGAAGCGGGCAAGUUAUGGUAUGAAAGCUGGUUUAAUGUUUCACCUUGGCUAACCACUUUGUUGUCUGCUUUAGCAGGACCGCUUAUUAUGUUGAUUCUGGGACUUAUAUUUGGACCUUGUAUAUUACGCUGUAUUUUACAUUUUAUUAAAGAACGGUUUGACCCAGCUAAAUUGCUUAUUUUGACUACAAGGUCUGAAGCAAAAUAUAAGAGUGUAUCUAUUAAUGAAGAUGACGAUUGUUGUGAAUGCAUUAUGCCACAUAAGAACUAUGAUUGUAAUUGUGAGAUAUUACCUUGUGAGUGUUAUGAUAAAUGUCGGAAUUGUGGAAGAAGAUUUGCCUGCAGUGCCGAAAAUGAAAGUAGUGUCUAAUAAACAAUAAUAGGAUAAAAAGAAAAAGGGGGGAUUGUGAGAAACUGAACUAAGGUAUUGUUUAUUAAGACUUAUGUUAAGCUCAAUGUAAAGCAUGCGAAGAAUACCUCCCAGGCGUGCUUAUGCAAGAUAACCAUCAGAGAUAAGACAAGCAACCCCAUAUCACCAGGAAGCAGGAAACGACCCCCUAACAACAACUGAAGCAUGCGAAAAGUACCUCCACUAUCUCAUUGAACAUGGAAGUAAAGAUGUAUAAAGAGAGACUGUUUGAACUGCUCAGUACGGCAGUUGGCGGAGCGCAGACUCCCCUGCCGUCCAGCGCUGUAUUUGCUCAUAUUCUACUUGCUACAAUUAAUAAAAUUCUAAUUGGAUUA